rnacentral:rRNA from 1 species
CCCUUAGAUGUUCUGGGCCGCACGCGCGCUACACUGAUGCAUUCAACGAGUCUAAAACCUGCUCUGAUAGGGGUGGGUAAUCUUUUGAAUGUGCAUCGUGAUUGGGACAGAUGAUUGCAAUUUUUCAUCUUCAACGAGGAAUGCCUAGUAAACGCAAGUCAUCAGCUUGCAUUGAUUACGUCCCUGCCCUUUGUACACACCGCCCGUCGCUCCUACCGAUUGAAUGAUCCGAUGAAUAUCAUGGAUUGAGGAUGCAAGUAGGUUAGCCUAUCUUCAUCUUCGAGAAGUGAAGUAAAUCUUAUCAUUUAGAGGAAGGAGAAGUCGUAACA